rnacentral:rRNA from 1 species
GCGCAAGCCUGACGGAGCAACGCCGCGUGAGCGAAGAAGGCCUUCGGGUUGUAAAGCUCUGUCUGGGGGGACGAAUCCUGACGGUACCCCUGAAGGAAGCCCCGGCUAACUACGUGCCAGCAGCCGCGGUAAAACGUAGGGGGCGAGCGUUGUCCGGAAUUACUGGGCGUAAAGGGCGUGUAGGCGGCUCUGUAAGUCAGGGGUGAAAUGCCGAGGCUCAACCGCGGGGCGGCCCCUGAAACCGUUGGGCUUGAGGGCAGGAGAGGGGAGUGGAAUUCCCGGUGGAGCGGUGAAAUGCGUAGAUAUCGGGAGGAACACCAGUGGCGAAGGCGGCUUCCUGGACUGUACCUGACGCUCAGGCGCGAAAGCUGGGGGAGCAAACGGGAUUAGAUACCCUGGUAGUCCCCGCCGUAAACGAUGGGUGCUAGGUGUUGGAGGUAUCGACCCCUUCUGUGCCGCAGCUAACACAAUAAGCACCCCGCCUGGGGAGUACGACCGCAAGGUUGAAACUCAA